GAAAGUAGCCACUUUUUUUUAGCAAACUUAAAAUUUACCCACUCAAAAUAAAAACUUAAAAAAAGAUCCACUUUUUGUAUUAAAUGACUAAACUGCCUCUAAGAUUAAAAUUAAAAAAUUAUCCACCUUUAAUCUCUCUACAUUCUCUCGGUCUCUCUCUCACUCCUUCCUCCCUCCUCCACCCGCGCUCGCACUCUCUCUCUCUCUCUCUCCUCAUCAACUACUAUGUAUGCAGUCGUCACCAGUACAGGAGGAGGAGGAGGAGGAGCGGUGAUCUCAGCUCGGCGGCAGAGAAUCAUGGCGAGGAGUCUUCGCAGGAUCAAUGGCUGGUGGCUCAGGAUGGAUUUGACGAGGCGUUGGUCAAAGGCGAUAGCUUGAUUGAAGGCACCGACUGUGCCGUGUGUCUCAGCGAUCGAGUUCGAAGACGAUGAUGAAUUAGUAUCAAGUUGAGAGGCGCGAUGACUUGGUUUUGGUGGUGGAGGAUCAAGAAAUUAAGUGUGAUAAAUUAUUUAAGGAAUUUUUGUGGUGGACAGUUGGUUUAAAAUUCCAGAUCUAUGAGUUAUUUCACUUUAGUGAAGACUCACGUCAUUUUAGUAAUUUGUUUGGUAGAUGAUUCAAUGCAUUUUUCUGCAUUAAAAAAAAAAAUAUACACCCAACACGUCAUUUUGGUAAUUAAUUACUCCCUCCGUACACCAAUUAAAGGCCUAGGGGAAAAAAUACGGGUUUUAAGAAAAAGUGUAUUUUUAUUAGUUGAGUGGAGAAAUGGUCCCACUUUUUAAGAAAAAAUGUAUUUUUAUUAGUUGAGUGGAGAAAGGGUC
rnacentral:lncRNA from 1 species